AGUGAUCCGCCCACCUGGGCCUCCCAAAGUGCCGGGAUUACAGGCUGAGCCACUGUGCCUGGCCUGAUCCAAGACUUUAUAAAGACAUGUAAGAGGGUGGGAGACAGAAAGCGGAAAAGGAUACAUCAAAACUAGCAAUGGAUGAAUGAGAACAUGUCCAGCCUCCAGUUAAGGCAACUGUGGCUUCAAAAAGGAAUCUUAAAUACCAGCACAGAAAUCAGAGGGAUCCUAACCUGGCUCAAAACAGAAGAGAAACAGUGGCUGGCCAUACAGCAGGACGGGCAUAACUAACAGAAUACCAGCUUUCCAGCCAUUGUUUCAUCCCUCAGCGAUACCACCUGCUUCCGCGUGGAACCCAAACCCCCAGGAAACUAAAUCUGCUCAGGUCACCCACCUAGGAAUAAAUAAAAACAGGUUUCAGGC
rnacentral:lncRNA from 1 species